CCUCGAUCAGCUUCCUAAUUUGUGUCCCAAGUCAAUCUGAACAAGGCAUUCAAGACUGUCUUUAAGGAGUUAUCCUCUGCUGUGGCUAGUGGCUACCUGGUGUUUGCAAAAUCUCUCUGUACUUUGCCUCGCAGUUCGCAGUUUCACAGUUUACCUAGAAGAGCUAUGAUAUUUCAGGAAAUGGUAGCAUUCUGCACCUGAAGGAAAAUGAACAAAGUAAAUCUCAGUUGGUGUUGUAACAGGGCACAAGACUCAGAAACAACAUAACUGUGUUUUUUUUCAUUUUUUUUUCUUUCUUUUUUUUUUUUUUUUUUUUUUUUUUUUUUUUUUUGCUUUCAAGUAGACUUGAAAAUUUGGUGUGAGAAAUGAAAAGCUGAUUUCUUCCUUCUGCAUGCAAGUAUGGUGGUCCUGAAGAGCUCCCAUCACAGCUGCAAGUGGUUAGGAAGCACUCAUUGAUGCUCAUUGUUCCGUUCAGCCUAUCCAGCACCUCUUGAGGCUAUAAAUGUGAUAUAUUGGAGUUGAUGUGGAAUAUAAUCUACUAUUCAGAAGUGUGUUUAUCCAGUCCAGGUACAAAGAGUUCCAAAACCCAUUGGUUGCUGUGGUAUGUGGAAAGAGAGGUGAAUGAUGCACAGUGUAACAUUUGAGGAAAUAUUUCCAAG
rnacentral:lncRNA from 1 species